UACGGAGGAUUCAAGCGUUAUCCGGAUUUAUUGGGUUUAAAGGGCGUGCAGCCGGGCUGACAAGUCAGAUGUGAAAUCCCGCGGCUCAACCGCGGAACUGCAUUUGAAACUGUCAGUCUUGAGUACCGGAGAGGUCAUCGGAAUUCCUAGUGUAGCGGUGAAAUGCGUAGAUAUUAGGAAGAACACCAGUGGCGAAGGCGGAUUACUGGACGACAACUGACGGUGAGGCGCGAAAGCGUGGGGAGCAAACAGG
rnacentral:rRNA from 1 species